AUCUGUAGAUACAUCAAAAAAAAAAAAAGAGAGAGGAAAAGAUUAGAUGCUUGAAAAGGAGGAACAUAAACAGGGGCAGUACCUCUUGAAGCGGUUGAAGAAGAGUUACAUCUGAUCAACUAAUUAAUAAAGAGAAGAGUCACUUUAUGGUCCAAAUAAACAGCCCUCUAGACAUCAUCAACAUCAUUCAUGAGGUCACAUGUUUUUCUCAAAAGGACAAUCAAAUGAAUUAUUAAGGCGGCCCCCUAUAUAUUGGAAGAAAGAGGAUUAUUUUCUUCUCCCAACUAGUUGAAAAAGUCUCCAAGAAGAUAUGUGGGUGAAAGGCAAAGAUACUGAACUUUGGAGGAAAAAUUACGUUGUUCAAGCAUGUUUUUUCAGUUCAUACCUAUCCAUACUAUGGCUGCAGUAUCUCUUCCCAGCACUAUAUUAAAUUUAUAGAGACUAUGAUUAACGAAUUUUUCUAGAGAAGAGAUCAAAAUAACAGAAAGUACCAUUGGGCAUCAUUAUAAACCAUGAGCUUACCUUGCAAUGAGGAAGGUGUAGGGAUUAGAAGGAUAAAAGAUAUAUGAAUUUCUCUCCAAUACAAGCAAUGGUGGAUUUAAAGAUCUAAAUUACACUUUGGGGAAAGUUCCUUGAACCCAAAUACUGGCAGAGAUCUAAUCCAGUUGCAAGGACUGUGGAUACUUGUCAAUCACUUGUGUGGAGAUAAAUAAUGAAGAAUUAAAAUAGUGUGGAAGACCUUAUCACUUGGAAAAUAGAUUCAGGAAGUAGUUUUUUCUUGUGGGAUAAUUGGCUAGGGGUGGUGCUCUGGCUAAUUAUACCACUAAUAUUUCAAUCCUUAAUGAUGCCACUAUUUCUUAUUUUCUUGUCAAAUGAACGAAAGAGAACUGUGACAGCUCGUCCCAUUACUAUUCAUUCCUCACAUCUUGAACACCAAGUUUCAAUACCAACAAGGAGUGAAAGAUACUACAAUCUGGGAGCCUACUGAAUUUGGAUGUUUUUCUUGUGCUUUGGCUUGGGAAAUCUAUAGAUCUAGUAAUGCUAAUGAAGUGAUCAAUGCUAUGAUUUGUAAUAGUGGAGCCUAUAAAAUGCAUCACUUGUACUCAGCAAGGCUGGCAUGAUGAGAAUCACAUCUUCAACCAAGGGAAUUUUGCAGCUCAUAUAUCGAAGUUCUACUCAAGCUCAAUUGGUGUUAAUUUCAUGCAUACCUGACUCAGCUGUCACUUAUUGAGUUGGUGUGACAUACUAGCGAAAAUCGCAGCUCACAAAGACCUCAUCCAUACUCUUCCUAUAGUGGUUUGCAUGAAUUUAUGGAAGAAUAGGUGUUCAUCCAAGUAUAGGGGAAAGAAUCUAGCAUCACAAGAGUCAAGUUCAUAAUCCUCAAAUAUAUUCUCCAUUUGCUCAAUUCUUGUUAUCUAUACAUUCAAUGUCCUGUGAAAUGGACAUAGGUAGUUGACACUAUUAAGGGUUGUAAGAAUAAUACUAAAGUCACUUCUAUUGUAUUGACAACAACCCCUACCAAUAAAAAUACAAACUUAAUACUGAUGGUAAUUAUUUGCUCAA